AUUGAACGCUGGCGGAAUGCUUUACACAUGCAAGUCGAACGGCAGCACGGGAGCUUGCUCCUGGUGGCGAGUGGCGAACGGGUGAGCAGUAUAUCGGAACGUAUCCAAUAAUGGGGGAUAACUAGUCGAAAGAUUAGCUAAUACCGCAUACGCCCUGAGGGGGAAAGCUGGGAUCUUCGGACCUAGCGUUAAUGGAGCGGCCGACAUCUGAUUAGCUAGUAGGUGAGGUAAAAGCUCACCUAGGCGACGAUCAGUAGCUGGUCUGAGAGGACGACCAGCCACACUGGAACUGAGACACGGUCCAGACUCCUACGGGAGGCAGCAGUGGGGAAUUUUGGACAAUGGGCGCAAGCCUGAUCCAGCCAUCCGCGUGAGUGAAGAAGGCCUCGGUUGUAAGCUCUUCGCAAGGUAAGAAAAGCUAACCAUACUAACAUAGGUUGAGGCUGACGGUACCUUGAUAAGAAGCACCGGCUAACUACGUGCCAGCAGCCGCGGUAAUACGUAGGGUGCGAGCGUUAAUCGGAAUUACUGGGCGUAAAGCGUGCGCAGGCGGCCUGAUAAGUCAGAUGUGAAAUCCCGAGCUC
rnacentral:rRNA from 1 species